AUGGGAAAAAAUUACAAAAAGAAAAAUAUUUUAUGGGCAAGCACAGAAAGCAAAAAACCCCAUUUCAUUCAUGCACAAUUUUAAUUCAGUUGGACUCCAAUUCAAUGAAAUUCACUUUAUUCAUUUCAAUUUUUUUAUAUUACAGCGUCAUUUGAACCGAGCCUAAUCUGAGUUUAAGACACACUCCUCACUUCCAGCAAGACCCCAGCAGCACAGGGGAGAAAGCACCUUGCUCUACAUCAUCACCUGAAAUGGAACUUGGGUGUCAAUGCCAAACUUGAAUCAAUAAAGAGCUGAACUACCUGUAGUGGUGCCAGAGAAUGCAAGAGUUUGGUAGCAAACAAAAGAUUUUGUACACAUUUUCCUCAAGUUCACAGGGAGGCAAUGUAAUAACUGAUUCAGAGCUUGAACUGGCACUACAAAUUCUCUACUUCAAAUCUAGUGUGUAAGCUGGAAUUGGUUUCCAACACAUCUGGGAAAUGAUGAAAAUGAUGAUGAUGAUGAUGAUGAUGAUGAUGAUGAUGAUUAUGAUGAUGAUCUUCACAAUGACAAAACUACACAGAUUGGCUCCCUUUAGACCAGUGCAAUAUAAAAGGAAAUGACAGAUGCUUGUCUGGUUGAGUCCCAAGCUUCCAUUAUUUGAGUAAUA